GGGUUAAGUCCCGCAACGAGCGCAACCCCUACGUUUAGUUGCUAACGCGUGAAGGCGAGCACUCUAGACGAACUGCCGUUGUUAAGCCGGAGGAAGGUGGGGAUGACGUCAAGUCCUCAUGGCCUUUAUGCCCAGGGCUACACACGUGCUACAAUGGGCGGUACAAAGAGAAGCAACCUCGCGAGGGUGAGCAAAUCUCAAAAAGCCGUUCUCAGUUCGGAUUGAAGUCUGCAACUCGACUUCAUGAAGUCGGAAUCGCUAGUAAUCGCGGAUCAGCAUGCCGCGGUCGAAUACGUUCCCGGGCCUU
rnacentral:rRNA from 1 species